CUCCCAGCAUUUUCCCUGUCUUUUUGGGUCUCAAGAAUUUGGGCUGGGUUGACUAAGAAUUCACCAUUCAGCAAAGUGGGUAGUGAAAGAAAAAGGUGAACGGAGAUGGAAAAAGAAAAGGGAAAGGAAAAAAGUAGAAGAAAAGAUGAUCAAAGAGCAGGAUGAGCAGAGAGAGAUGGGCAAAAGAGUCAGUCUCUUCACUGGAGAAAGGAAAUAGUAUCCUUUAUUUCUUUUGGGUCUCCUAAAGAGAGAGAAAAUGUGUUGUGUGUGUAUUUAUAUAUAUUCCAGCAGAUGUGAAUAAGCCUCCAGCUGUCUAUAAGUAAUUUCGUCCUUCAAUUCCUUAAUUUUGGCAAAGUUUGAGGCUUUUUAGGGAGUCAAUUUUGAAGACCAUGUAUGUGCAAAGGAUAAGUGACUGUCUGUGAAAAUCAUUAUCUUUAUUUUUAAAGAGGCAUUUGGGUAAAGGAAGUCAAACUCCUAAUUCCCAGCCAUUGGUCAUGCAUCUGAAAGCACACACACACAAAAAAAGGGAAAUUCAUGCAGUUGUAUGCAAUUAUGGAAAGUGCAGAAAAACCAUCUGUUCUUGGAAAUAAAAUCUUCCUCAAUCCCCUGGAUGUCAGAAGCCCAAGUGAAUGUGGGGGAAGUGACUGUUAAAACUAAUUUUGUAUGUGAAAAGUAUGUAUGCUUUAUCCAAACGGAACUGCACACCCCUGGAAGGUUCUAUUAAAUUUUUUCCAGUGAAUUGACAAAUGUUUUUUACAAAACUAUCUCCAGUAUUGUUCUUGAAGCAUGACUAGUCUCCAGAUUCACCGAUGGGCCAUGUCAAUCAUCAGUACAUGCACAUGUUAUUUGCAAAUGGAAUUCAGGUCAAGAGCAAGACACUGUAAGCUUAAAAGGAAAGUUUUUGAAAUGCAAUGUUAUUUAUCUGUUUUAACCUGUAAAAAGCAGAUCAAGCAUCCAGUGAGUUAACAAAUCUGACACUGACAGAUGCAAUGGGUUGAGGAUGGGUGUGGACAGAAAGGCUCCUCCCACCUCUACAUUACCCCAGGAGUCUUCACUUUCACAACCUUCAUUACACUACUUUUGGGAAGCACUGCCUAAGUUAUCUCACUGGAGCCUCCAAUUAUUUCUACAACUUAGUACACAGUUGCUUAGCACUUCUAUACUUGAUUUAUAUGUGAUUAAUUUCAAAGUAUGUACAUGUUACUUGUAAAUCUUUGAGGGCGCUUUUCUGAGUUUCCUGCUGCUCUGCCUAAAAUGCAAAUUGUUUAUAACCUUCCACGUGACUGUUUUCCCACCUGCCAGUAUCGACCUGGCUUUACUAGAAAAUUUAUUAUCUUACAAAAGCUUUUCCCUAAGGUGGAAUAAAAACUCCACAGGGGGCGAUAUAGUGGGGGUGAGAGGUCUCUCUCAGCUGAAAUAGCUUCCCACCUCUCCUCUCUUCAUUCUCCUUUUUACUUACAUUCCUUUCACAGAAGAAAUCGUUCUUUUUUGAGAGGGAGCAAGGACAGGGCUUGAUAUUUUACUUAAGAAAAAAAACUUAAAUGAUCAAGGUUUGAACUGUGAUUAUCAUUAUGCAGCCAUAUUUCUAGAACAAGCUGCUUUUACCAUCUUGAGAUUUCAAUGACCUUUUGAAAGAAAGCAUCUUCUCCAGUACAAGUUGUAACUUUUAUUUAUGGGAAAUUUAAAAAAGACUGUCACAUCCUUAGUCUGAUAAAUAGGUUGUGUGUGGCUUUAAAGGAAAUGAGAAAAAGCCUGCCAGCAACCAGUGGGAUGUAAAACAUAGACUGUGAAAAAAAGCAUGUCUCAAACCUUCACAAUGGUAAACACUUGGAAACCAAUGAACAGCCCUUAGAUUCUAUUCUGACUGAUAGGUGUGAUUAAGGAAAAGACGAAAGCUGAUGCUAUUCUAAAAUACAGUUGUAGUAAAUUCUUGUAAUUUUAUGUUGUCUUGGCAUCCCUUUUAAAUGUAGGUUUCACUUUCUCAUACCAAAAGCAGCGCUCAGUCACCCUUGAUGCAAUGUCCGGUGCUAUACCACACCCAAAUGGCUCAAGCUGGUGGCCAGAGAUAAGAACUCAGAAGCAUCUCUGCCACCUGCCUGACUGGAUUCCUCGUGUUCCCAGCGUGCCCUUUAAGUGGGCCAUCAGGCGUUUACCUGGGAAUUUAAAGUGACACACACCCUGUUCCCUUGUACAAACUACUAGCUGCCAUGCAUUCUCCAUCUCUGCCUGACUUUUCAAUCCUUCCUUGCAUAACCCAGGGAUGAAGCACUUCUCCGCAUCGCACCCUGACUCAUUAUGCUGUCCUUGCCCAGGAUCUGAAUACUUUUUUGAUUAUUUAGUCUGGUAACUAUCAGCAUAUCAAAGAAGAUGUGAAAAGAAGCACUUUGAAGCUACAAGAACUCCACUGCAGCCUAGGCAGAGGUGAGAUGACAAAAAUGUUUGGGUAAAAUAGUUUUGGCAAUGAGAGCUUUUCUGAAGUCCAAGUUUAUAGUAAUAAGAAUAUAUAUAAUUCCUUAUUAAACAACACAAAUUUAAGAUUACAGUAAUUUGGGGUUACAGAAUACAUUUCCACUAUUUAUGAUGUGAGAGCCUCUUAAAAGUUUUGGAGCAUUCAUCUUUAACUCAGUGAAAGGUACCAAUAUAUUUUGAGUACCACUGAUGAUAUGCAAACCAAGCUUGUUAGGAAUGAGUUAUUGGCUCAUUAAAACAACAGUCUGCUGCUAAACAUCUGUUUGACAAUUGGAUGUGAGGCUGCUUUGAUGUGGUAUAUGAAGUAUGCAUUUUAAAACACUAAAAUACCACUCUUUAAAGGUAUUCUAUAUGUCAGACUUCACUCAUCCACACAGCUUAUCCAUAAGAUUUUAAUGAAUGAAGUUUUUUUUUUUUUGUACCACCCCCCAUGAUUCCAUUACUGAAUGUUCAUAAUGAACUUCUGGACCUCUGCUACUUACAAAGACAAAGAAAAGGGAGAAGAGAGAAGGCCCUAAUGAAUUUAUGCCCAUAACAGAAGUAUAAUUAAGAAUUUCAAAUGACUCCAUGGGGCUGGGAGUGCUUUAAUUCCCCCAUAAACAAUGUAUAUUAAUGCUGAAAGGCCUUUCUUAAUACACAUGAAGGCUACCUUUCUCGGGCAACCAUUAGUAUCCCCCAAAACAUGAAAAAA